rnacentral:rRNA from 1 species
AUUGAACGCUGGCGGCAGGCCUAACACAUGCAAGUCGAACGAGUGGCGGACGGGUGAGUAAUGUCUGGGAAACUGCCCGAUGGAGGGGGAUAACUACUGGACACGGUAGCUAAUACCGAAUACCAUAGGAUAUGCACAGAGUGGAUUAGCUAGUAGGUGGGGUAACGGCUCAACUAGGAGACGAUCCCUCGCUGGUCUGAGAGGAUGACCAGCCACACUGGAACUGAGACACGGUCCAGACUCCUACGGGAGGCAGUCGUGGGGAAUAUUGCGCAAUGGGGGCAACCCUGACGCAGCCAUGCCGCGUGAAUGAAGAAGGACUUCGGGUUGUAAAGUGCUUUCGGUAGCGAGGCGUUAACUACAGAAGAAGCACCGGCUAACUCCGUGCCAACCGCCGCGGUAAUAC